rnacentral:rRNA from 1 species
AUUGAACGCUGGCGGCAUGCCUUACACAUGCAAGUCGAACGGCAGCACGGGGCAACCUGGUGGCGAGUGGCGAACGGGUGAGUAAUGCAUCGGAACGUACCUUUCAGUGGGGGAUAACGUAGCGAAAGUUACGCUAAUACCGCAUAUUCUGUGAGCAGGAAAGCAGGAGAUCGCAAGACCUUGCGCUGAUUGAGCGGCCGAUGUCAGAUUAGCUAGUUGGUGAGGUAAAGGCUCACCAAGGCGACGAUCUGUAGCGGGUCUGAGAGGAUGAUCCGCCACACUGGAAAUGCGACACGGUCCAGACUCCUACGGGAGGCAGCAGUGGGGAAUUUUGGACAAGGGGGGCAACCCUGAUCCAGCCAUGCCGCGUGAGUGAAGAAGGCCUUCGGGUUGUAAAGCCCUUUCGGCCGAGAAGAAAUCGCACGGGCUAAUACCCUGUGUGGAUGACGGUACCGGAAUAAGAAGCACCGGCUAACUACGUGCCAGCCGCCGCCGUAAAAC